rnacentral:rRNA from 1 species
UUCCCCUAGUAACUGCGAGUGAAGCGGGAAAAGCUCAAAUUUGAAAUCUGGCAGCUUUUUGGCUGUCCGAGUUGUAAUCUAGAGAAGUGUUACCUGUGCUGAACCGUGUACAAGUCUCCUGGAAUGGAGCAUCAUAGAGGGUGAGAAUCCCGUCUUUGACAUGGACUAUCUGUACGUUAUGGUGCGCUCUCAAAGAGUCGAGUUGUUUGGGAAUGCAGCUCAAAAUGGGUGGUAAAUGCCAUCUAAAGCUAAAUAUUGGCGAGAGACCGAUAGCGAACAAGUACCGUGAGGGAAAGAUGAAAAGAACUUUGGAAAGAGAGUUAAACAGUACGUGAAAUUGCUGAAAGGGAAACGCUUGAAGUCAGUCGCGUUGACUAGAAAUCAGCCUUGCUCUUGCUUGGUGUACUUUCUUGUCGAUGGGUCAGCAUCAAUUUUGACCAUUGGAUAAAGUCUCUGGGAAUGUGGCAUCUUAGGAUGUGUUAUAGCCCAGGGUCGCAUACAGUGGUUGGGAUUGAGGAACUCAGCACGCCGCAAGGCCGGGUUUCGACCACGUUCGUGCUUAGGAUGCUGGCAUAAUGGCUUUAAUCGACCCGUCUUGAAACACGGACCAAGGAGUCUAACAUGCCUGCGAGUGUUUGGGUGGAAAAACCCAUGCGCGAAAUGAAAGUGAAAGUUGAGAUCCCCCUCGAAAGGGAGCAUUGACGCCCGGACCAGACCUUUUGUGACGGAUCCGCGGUAGAGCAUGUAUGUUGGGACCCGAAAGAUGGUGAACUAUGCCUGAAUAGGGUGAAGCCAGAGGAAACUCUGGUGGAGGCUCGUAGCGAUUCUGACGUGCAAAUCGAUCGUCAAAUUUGGGUAUAGGGGCGAAAGACU